AUUGAACGCUGGCGGAAUGCUUUACACAUGCAAGUCGAACGGUAGAGGGGGCAACCCCUCGAGAGUGGCGAACGGGUGAGUAAUAUAUCGGAACGUGCCCAGUCGUGGGGGAUAACGUAGCGAAAGUUACGCUAAUACCGCAUACGAUCUAAGGAUGAAAGCGGGGGAUCGCAAGACCUCGCGCGAUUGGAGCGGCCGAUAUCAGAUUAGGUAGUUGGUGGGGUAAAGGCUCACCAAGCCAACGAUCUGUAGCUGGUCUGAGAGGACGACCAGCCACACUGGAACUGAGACACGGUCCAGACUCCUACGGGAGGCAGCAGUGGGGAAUUUUGGACAAUGGACGCAAGUCUGAUCCAGCCAUUCCGCGUGCAGGAUGAAGGCCCUCGGGUUGUAAACUGCUUUUGUACGGAACGAAAAGGUCUCUCUUAAUACGGGGGGCUCAUGACAGUACCGUAAGAAUGAGCACCGGCUAACUACGUGCCAGCAGCCGCGGUAA
rnacentral:rRNA from 1 species